ensembl:lncRNA
UGCGUUCUUUGCGUUCUUGGAAUUGAGAAACAGCCAUUAUUUUCGAGGAACGGGAACGUUAGCUAGCUGAAGUUUCCGCUAACUUUCUAGCGGUAAAAUGGUCACAUCGUGUUGACAAUGACAUUAGCUAGCUUCACCAGCAACCCUAAUAGACAUUAAUACUGGUAACUAUGUCGAAAAGAAAGCACAACGUUACUGCUAACACGAAAGAAAAGGUUUGGUUGAGAGAAAAUGUUCCUAUACGUACUUUGACAAGAUGGAAAAAAAGGUUUGUACUAAAUUACACCUGUUUCCUAAUCCAGCUCGUAACUUCUGGUUAAAGGAGAACUCCGGUCAAUUUUAACAUUGAGCUAAUUUUUUUUGUACAUUUGGAGUGCUGUCAGUACAGAGAACAACGACAAAAAUCGGUGUUUCCUACACCGUGUUAUCUUCUUUUUAAAAUUUGCACCCUGUUGACUUCAAUGGGCACGUUUAAACCUGUAUUAAUAAAAUUGAUGAUAAUUCUGCCCGCGAAAAUACCUGAAAAACUUACUGUUUUCAGUCGAAGUCCACAGUAGUCAAUUGUUGAGUUCACCCGCGCGAUCACUGGUAACUAAGCAAUUCAAGAGAACGCGCCUGAACUCGACAAUCGACUACUGUGGACUUCGACCGAAAACAGGAAGUUUUUCAGGUAUUUUCGCUGGCAGAAUUAUCAUCAAUUUUAUUAAUAUCUUUCACAUCUACUGCAGUCAGAUUCACUGUGUUCACUCUAAAUAAACUCACUCACAUGGCUGUGCACUUGUAAUGACACAUUGAGGAUGUUAAAGCAGGCUAAACGCAGGCGUGCCCCAUUGAAGUCAACAGGGUGCAAAUUUUAAAAAGAGGAUAACAUGGUAUAGGAAACACCGAUUUUUGUCGUUGUUCUCUGUACUGACAGCACUCCAAAUUAAAAAAAAAACGAGCUUAAUGUUAAAAUUGACCGGAGUUCUCCAUUAAGGUUGCAGUGAUUCGUUCCCAGUUAACGUUAGUUACCGUAACGUUACUGUCCACUGUUUCUUUAGGAAAAUCAACAGAACUUUGACUGACAUCGAAAAACAUACUGCGCAACAACAUGAAAGUGAUGAAGAUGUCCAAAGAGAAGAGCAGAGUGGAGAACCUUUCACAUUGGAGCAGGUGAGACAAAACUACAGUAUUCUGUCUCUCUAUUUAUAUGUAUCUCUCUCUAUCACUCUGUCAAUCUAUCUAUCUAACAAGUUGUUGAUUUGUAUCCUUCCUAGGAAAGUGAUGAAGAUUCCCAAAGAGAAGAGCAGAGAGCAGAACCUUUAACAUUGGAGCAGGUGAGACAAAACUACAGUAAACACAUUUAUGAAGUUAAUUACAUAAUUUGAUAAUGACAUUAAAUAAUCACGAGACAAACAAUGCUAUCACAAAAUGCACAGAUUAUCUCUGCAGCUCAUGGAAGUAAUAAUAAUAAUAGUAAUAAUAUCCAGGGCCACAACACUACUGGUGUAUUG